GAUGAACGCUGACAGAAUGCUUAACACAUGCAAGUCGACUGUGGCCGACGGGUGAGUAACGCGUAAAGAACUUGCAUCACAGAUAAGGACACCAUUCGGAAACGAGUGCUAAUACCUGAGACCGUGAGGGAGGUUUGCGGCCCAUUAGCUGGUUGGCGAGGUAACGGCUCACUAAGGCGAUGAUGGGUAGCCGGCCCUAGAGGGUGAUCGGCCACGAGGGGACUGAUACACGGCCGUUACUCCUACGGAUGGUGGCAGUUGGGAAGUUGGGACAAUGGACCAAAGUCGUAUCCAGCGAUUCUGUUUGCGCGAGGAAUUUUUCUUAAUGUAAAGUGCUUUCAGUUGUGAAUCGGUACCAACAGAAGAAGUGACGGCUAAAUACGUGCCAGCAGCCGCGGUAAUUC
rnacentral:rRNA from 1 species